rnacentral:lncRNA from 1 species
GUGCCCGCUGUGGCUGGCCUCCCCGUCACAGCUGGGCUGGGGGCUCUGCAGGGCUCGGGGAUCGCCCCUGGGCCUCCCGGCCCACCCCUGCCCCCUGGAGCAGCUGGAAAGGAGGCUUAGCGGAGCCCACACUUGCCGCUGUGGGCACAGGGCGUGAAUGCUCUGGGCGUCGGGCCCCUGGGGGCUCCAGCAAGGACCAGCCCUGCCAGCAGAGCAGGACCGGGGGCCAGCAGCUGGGCUGGGAAAGGGGAGCUGCCCAGGCAGGACCCGAAGCAGCUGGGCAGUGACUCGGGUGAGAGGAGAAUCCCGUCCACAUGGACGCGAGGCUUUCACAGCGUCUGUGCUUGCUCCAGCCUCUCCUCGGCAGGCCCCAGGGUUGGCCAAGUUGGCAUCGGGCAUCGGGACCUUCAGAACAUUCCCCAGAGCUGCAGGCUAUGAGACAGCUUGUGGAGGUCCGGCUGGCUGGUCUCAAGCCCUGAGACCGAUACGCAGCAGCCCCGCCUGGGCAGCAGCCUGCAGGAGCCUGGAGUAGGGGGCAGGCCUUGAUGGGCAUGAUCAUGAGGGCUGGGACCAGGCCUAGAGCUGCUGCCUGGGCCUCAGACAGUUUGGGGAGAAUUAAGAAGCCCCUCUCCCACUGCAAGGAUGGUGGUGGCCGCUGGCUUUCUUCAAGAGCCGUUUUUUGCUAAGAGCCAGAGGCAGGUCUUCUGGAAUUCUCCAGGGCCCUGCAGCCACAUCUCUGUGUCAUGACCAGCAUCAGUUCCUUUUCUGCCUGCGCGCUCUCCACCUGCCCCGCCUGAGGGCGUCAGCUCCUGUAAACCUGGGCAUUCCCCUCUCUGCCCGUAUCACUGGGUUUGUUCAAAGGAGAAAAAGCCGUUGGUGUCAUUUCUUACCUUUCCUUUUGGCUGUGGCGUGCAAGUCUGUGUCGAUUUUGAAAACAAGUGAACUUCACAACUGUGAGAAGGUCUCCUCAACGGAAGAUGUUUCUUUGGCAGACGAGUAUUUCGGAGUGAGUCUGUGGCCGUAAAUCUACGUGUCCCAGCUCCAAGUUGCAAGGAAAGUGACUGUGGGGCAUUCUGUGGAACCUCCCAUGUGCGCUUCUCCACUGUCGCCGUGGAAAUGGAGACCGAGGACAUGUCAGGAUGUGUUGGGUGACAGGGUUCCAGGAGAGCCAGUGGGAAGGGGCUGGCCAGAAAUAGUCGGAUGAGGCCUGGCACCUGGAGACCUCAGCUCUCGACUCCAGGCAGGAAGCCAGCUUGAAACCGGAGGGAAGGUCCUGGGAAGUCAGUAGGGGGACGGACGUUGAGACCCACAGCUCCCACACGCAGCCAGGAGGGCUCUGUGGGCUGCAGAAGUGGACGAAGGAGGCAGGGCAGUCAGGACGAUUCACAGCACAAGACUGCUGGUUUAAAGAUGAGGGGCUGCGGCCGGCGGAGGGUGAGGACGCCUCAGCCGACAGCCAGCCAGGAAGCGGGGCGUCCCUCCCACCACCAUAGGCGCUGAAUUCGGCACUGACCUGAGUGAUCUGGAGGCAGUUGGAUCCCGAGCCUCUGGUGAGAGCCCAGCCAGUGACACCAGACUUCCUGUGAGGCUCCUGACGCUCAGCCCGCCUCGCUGCACCCGGACCUUAGGUCCACAGAACCGCGAGACCAUGCGCGUGCGUUGUGCAAAACCACUUGUUACAGCUGCAGCGGGAAGCCAUCUGGGCCUCGACGGUUCUGGAACGGCGAGGUUUCUGCUUCAGUGAGCGACACCUCCUUCAUCAUCAGCAAUCCCAAACCCUCCUUGCUUCCUGUGGGCAGGAGCCGGGUUUAGCCAUACGUUCCUUGGGUUUGGUGAACACCACUUCCUUUUAUUUGUG